rnacentral:tmRNA from 1 species
GGGGGUGACUGGCUUCGACGGGAAGCAAGAGGUCAACAGAGCGUGUCGAGCUCUCGGAGUCUCGUAAAACCUUCGGGAAAACAUUAAGUGCCAACGAUAACUUGGCUCUCGCGGCUUAAUUGACCG